GAUUAACGCUGGCGGCGUGCCUAACACAUGCAAGUCGAACGAUGAAACUCAUUAGAUUUCUUCGGAAUGAAAAUGAAUGGAUUAGUGGCGAACGGGUGAGUAACGCGUGAGUAACCUGCCUUACACAAGGGGAUAGCCUCUGGAAACGGAGAAUAUUACCCUAUGAAACCAGACAAUCGCAUGAUAAUCUGGUCAAAAUGUUUAGUGGUGUAAGAUGGACUUGCGUCUGAUUAGCUAGUUGGUGAGAUAAAAGCUCACCAAGGCAACGAUCAGUAGCCGGCUUGAGAGAGUGUACGGCCACAUUGGGACUGAGACACGGCCCAGACUCCUACGGGAGGCAGCAGUGGGGAAUUUUGCACAAUGGGGGAAACCCUGAUGCAGCGACGCCGCGUGAUUUAGAAGGCCUUCGGGUUGUAAAAAUCUUUUGUAUAGGAAGAAAAUGACAGUACUAUACGAAUAAGGUCCGGCUAAUUACGUG
rnacentral:rRNA from 1 species